rnacentral:tmRNA from 1 species
GGGGCUGAUUCUGGAUUCGACGGGAUUUGCGAAACCCAAGGUGCAUGCCGAGGGGGCGGUUGGCCUCGUAAAAAGCCGCAAAAAAAUAGUCGCAAACGACGAAAACUACGCUUUAGCAGCUUAAUAACCUGCUUAGAGCCCUCUCUCCCUAGCCUCCGCUCUUAGGACGGGGAUCAAGAGAGGUCAAACCCAAAAGAGAUCGCGUGGAUGCCCUGCCUGGGGUUGAAGCGUUAAAACGAAUCAGGCUAGUCUGGUAGUGGCGUGUCCGUCCGCAGGUGCCAGGCGAAUGUAAAGACUGACUAAGCAUGUAGUACCGAGGAUGUAGGAAUUUCGGACGCGGGUUCAACUCCCGCCAGCUCCACCA